AUUUAAUUAAGUAAAACUGUCGGUUAUUUUUAUUUUACACACAAACAUGUAUGUCCAGAGGAGAGGGACAGUGCAGAGCGAUCCACACCUAGUUCAUCUCAGGGUACAAAUCGGAAGCUAUUGGAGGCUGUCGUCAGAAGCUUCAGUUCAAUUAGGCUAACAUGCAUGGGUAAAGUAUAUUAAUUACUUCACGGCAUAUGCUUCAAAAACUAAGGUUUGUUAUUAGAAGGGGGAGGUCGAGCCCAUCCUUGGGUAGGCAUAGGGCAUGGUGGAGUAGCCCAUUGAGACCACCCAUAAUUUGCAUACGGACCCCAACCCCAAAAUGGCAUCUGUUGUUGUUGUCCUGGCGGGCUAGCCUUGUUGCCCGUGCCAUUACCUCCCUUGGCUAGACUACUCAUCGUAUUUGGUGUGCAGAUUGUAUUGAAUUUUUUUAGGAUAUUAAAAAUCAAAGAUAUUCGGUUAAGAUUUUUAAUAAUAUUUUGAUAUCAAAUGACAUUUAACGAAAAUUUUAAAAUUAACUAAAA